rnacentral:rRNA from 1 species
GACGAACGCUGGCGGCGUGCCUAAUACAUGCAAGUCGAGCGCAGGAAGCUGACGGAACUCUUCGGAGGGAAGGCAGCGGAAUGAGCGGCGGACGGGUGAGUAACACGUAAGGAACCUGCCUCAAGGAUUGGGAUAACUCCGAGAAAUCGGAGCUAAUACCGGAUAGUUCAACGGACCGCAUGGUCCGCUGAUGAAAGGCGCUCCGGCGUCACCUUGAGAUGGCCUUGCGGUGCAUUAGCUAGUUGGUGGGGUAACGGCCCACCAAGGCGACGAUGCAUAGCCGACCUGAGAGGGUGAUCGGCCACACUGGGACUGAGACACGGCCCAGACUCCUACGGGAGGCAGCAGUAGGGAAUCUUCCACAAUGGACGAAAGUCUGAUGGAGCAACGCCGCGUGAGUGAUGAAGGUUUUCGGAUCGUAAAACUCUAUUGUAAGGGAAGAACACGUACGAGAGGAAAUGCUCGUACCUUGACGGUACCUUACGAGAAAGCCACGGCUAACUACGUGCCAGCAGCCGCCGUAA